rnacentral:rRNA from 1 species
UACGUAGGUGGCAAGCGUUGUCCGGAUUUAUUGGGUUUAAAGGGUGCGUAGGCGGCUUUGUAAGUCAGUGGUGAAAUACUCCAGCUCAACUGGAGGGGUGCCAUUGAUACUGCAGAGCUAGAGUACUGAUGAGGUAGGCGGAAUGGACGGUGUAGCGGUGAAAUGCUUAGAUAUCGUCCAGAACACCGAUAGCGAAGGCAGCUUACUAAAGAGUAACUGACGCUGAGGCACGAAAGUGUGGGGAUCAAACAGG